rnacentral:rRNA from 1 species
GCGAUUGGGGUGAAGUCGUAACAAGGUAGCCGUAGGAGAACCUGCGGCUGGAUCACCUCCUUUCUAUGGAGAAA